rnacentral:rRNA from 1 species
GUACACACCGCCCGUCACAUCAUGAAAGCCGGUUUUGCCCGAAGUACGUGAGCUAACCCCUCGGGGAGGCAGCGUCCUACGGUGAGGCUGGUGAUUGGGAUGAAGUCGUAACAAGGUAGCCGUAGGUGAACCUGCAGAAGGAUCA